rnacentral:rRNA from 1 species
AGCUCCAAUAGUGUAUAUUAAAGUUGUUGCAGUUAAAAAGCUCGUAGUUUGACUUCGGAGUGUUGGAUAGUGAGUCUACACAAUUGAUGUACGUACUCACAUUUGAUUUCCUUUAUUCAGGAUAGUACUUUUUGUGCUCCUGAUAUUUUACUUUGAGAAAAUUAGAGUGUUCAAAGCAGGCGUAAUCAAGCCUUUGAAUAUAUUAGCAUGGGAUAAUAGAAUAGGACCUUGAAGGGUGUUCUCGUUUAGUUUUUUUUAAACUCUUCAGGUAAUGAUAAAUAGGGAUAGUUGGGGUGAUUAGUAUUUGAUCGUCAGAGGUGAAAUUCUAAGAUUGAUCAAAGACUAACAGCUGCGAAAGCGUUUCACAAGGAUGUUUUCAUUAAUCAAGAACGAAAGUAGG